CGCCGGGUACUUCCCGCUAGUCUUACCUAUAAAAUAUUUUUUUUGUCUGUCUGCGCACGCUUGCGAGAGAUUUGGUCUCUGCAACGGUGGGGUUUACGUUAAAACAAAUUAGCAAGGUACUACGCCGUAAGCCCCGCGGUGGGCAAGCGCUAGUUCCUUUUCCCGUCCGUCACCUUGAAAUUAGUUUAAAUAGUGCUUUUUUGCAAUUUUUCUAUACUUAUUUAUUUAGUUUCACUAUAAUUUGUUUCCCUUCACCGCUCGUGGCGGGACAACGCAGCAAACUGCGCACGCCCGCAACAUCAUCACGGUUAGCCCCUAGCAACCCACACGCGCAUUCGCCGGAGGUGUGCGGCCUUUUUUUUUAUCCGCCUGCACACUCUACAAGAGCCCUUAGAUAUCUAUUAUUAUAGCGCUUAGAUAGUAUUAUUGUAGCGCGGCCGAGGGGAGCGGCCCAGCCCCCAGCCUGCCAAGGGGACACCUCGGCCGGCUGCGCGCUCUAGGCGAGGACGGGGGCUCUGCAUGGGACGAGGCCUCACCACGGCAAUGUUAAGUACCAUUUCCUUGCGUCUUUCCCUAACCUCACCUUGCUAGAAACCCAGUUUUUUUAAUAAUCACCUUCAUAGUAUUACAUUAACUAUGUUUGUGUGCAGAAUACUGUUUUUGUUUGCCUACUCACAACUAAUCUUUUAGCAAUCGCUUUGUCAUCAUUAUUUUAUUUAUUAUUUGUCAACUCACCUUCAUAGAAAACUUUUUUAUAUAACCACCUUGAUAAUACUUACAUUUAUACUGUUUGUGUGCAAACAACUAACUUUGAUAUUGCUCUCUUCUUUCACUAAACUCACGUACAUAUAAUCAUGUCAUUUUUAUAAUCUCCUUCAAAAUAUAAAAACAUUGAUUUCUGUGUCCUCACAACUAACAUUCUUUCAAUACCUUGGUCAUUAAUAAUAUUCUUAUUAUUUGGAGAUCAGGACAAGAUGUGGGCCCCACACAUAUGCUGCAACACUUGUGCAACAAAUCUUAGCCAGUGGUUGGUUGAACAAAAAAAGGAAAUCUAUGUCUUUUGCAGUGACAAUGAUUUGGAGAAGCCAACAGAUCGUAUCAGCAAUUGUUUCUUCUGCAUGGCGCCUCCAGUUAGGAAAGACUGGAUACACAAAGUACUGCUGUUUUCUCCGCGAAUGGGAUAGUCGUGCGAGAGAUUACCACUACAUCAAUGUUAGAUUGCCCACUCCGACAGUCUUUGGAGCCUGGGAGGAAAAGUGUUCAGCAUCCACCACUUGUUGACUCAAGGAAGAUUUUGUUACCACCCUGACACAUCAAGCUGGGUCUGAUGAAGAACUUUGUCAAAGCCAUGGACAAAACACAAGCAGAUUUAAAGUACCUCCGUGGAAAAAUGUCCAAGGUUAAGUGAAGCUAAGAUAAAGGAAGGUGUCUUUGUUGGUCCUCAGAUUCGUGAACUUCUUCGAGAUGAUGCAUUUGACAGUGCACUGCGUAGCAAGGAAAAGAGGGCAUGGAAGGCCUUCCAGUUAGUGACAACACAUUUUCUCAGAAACAAGGCCGACAAAUACAGGGAGUUGGUGGAAAACCCCCUCAAGGCAUACAAAAGCCUUUGUUGCAACAUGUCACUAAAGAUACAUUUUUUGCACGCUCAUCUAGAUUUUCUUCCCACCGAACUGCGGAACAGUGAGCUACGAGCGUGGCGAGCGAUGUCACCCAGGACAUUGCAACAAUGGAGAAACGCUGUCAAGGAAAAUGGAGCCCAUCAAUGCUUGCAGACCUUUGCUCGACAGUGACAAGAAAUGCACCAUUUAUUGAAUACAAGAGACAAGCCAAGAAGCGCCGAGUGGACACUGAAUAAGGACUAAAAUAUGUACUUGUGUACCUAUUAAUGUUUUGCCUUUUGUUUCAUAGUACAUUUUAUUAAUGUAACCCUUUUGCUAAUUUGUUUAAGUGUUACAUGAACAGGAUAGUUGACAUUAUCAUGUAAAGCAACCAUAAACACACGAAAAGACCUAGGUUUACAAUUUAUGAGUAAAUCUCUCCUAUCGACACAAUAUACAUAGAUGUAAAAUGUAAAAACGUUAAUAUCUUGGGAACAGUAGCCAAUCGGUUGUUUUAAUUGUCAUAUUUUAAUUCAGUCACUUCAAAAUCCAUAAUAAACAUCACAUUUCAUCUCUGAAGCAGAAGACGUCUACACAAUUGUAAACCUGUGUUAUUUUGCGCUGGAAAAAAAAGUGACAUUGCCUGAAGCGUUACCGAGACUUUUUUUUCAGGUCACGGUUUUUUGACGAACAUGUAGGGUUUUAUCGUGUACAGUCGUUCAUGUACCCACAUGUUACCCACAACUUACAUUUAGAAUCAACGUGCGUUUGGAUUACGUUGCUGCUAUAAAUUUUCACGCGACAAACCACUUCGUUGAGCUAUAAUUUAUGGCCAGGUCGAUAAAAAAAAGCUAUAUAGCUCGGUGGACUUUACCCGGUAAGUAAACAAAAAUAUAUAGUUAACUUUUGUUCGUUUAUAUUUUUGUAAAGUGAUUGGUUCACCUUUUUUCUACUUGGUACUCCGAUCGUGUUUUUGUAUUGUUUGUUGUAACGUUCUGAUCCCCGCCCCCCCCUUACUAGACAUCUGCGAGACAGAGAUUUAUAGCUCACCGACUUCCCUCCUGCAGUGUAAAUAAAGGUUCUGAUUGCGUGUGCAGAGGAAAUACUGGCGAUGAUCGGAUUAAGCGAUGCACUACACUCGCCUCCGUGUUGCCUCAAUAAAGUCGAGAGUUAAACAAUGAGCCGCUGCUCGCGUUUUAGACACAAGAGAUUUAUUGAGGCUGACGGGACGAGUGCUAUUGUUGUGGACAGUGCCGAUGACGAAAACUGAACACGAGCAAGAAUGUGAAAAGUAAAAAUACGAACGUCGCCUAUUAAAUGCACGAAUUUGCCGGCUUUAUUUUCUCUUGCCCCAAAAGUGUUUUUAUUAUAAACAAGAUUAUUCAGAUACACAACCACGGAGGAUAUGAAAGUCCGCGGUUGACACCGGCACAAACCCACAAGUUUGUGGAUUACGGUGCAAUGGAGGCCUGUCUGAAACCGCACGUUUCAAUAAACGCUACAACCCUGGUGAGGUCUUCUUAAGCUCUGAUACCCCUGUAGGAGAAAGAAAAAAGGGAUGAGGGGGACCUAAAUGCCCUCAUAAAUGCUCUUAAGAAUCAGUGCCCACUGGAGGAGAGCGAGUGAAGGGGUUUGGUGGUGAACUGCCAUCAUUUUUUUAAGCCAGGAAAUGGCCUAUUAGUUGGGGGUUCGAGCUAUCAUUGGUGUCUAGGAAGCCUGUGGUUGCUGAUAAGGGUUUUUCAUGUGCAGGUUGAACUUUCACAACGUACGUAGACAACCAUGCUAAUCGGAGGUGCGUUGAACCAAAACUGCUGAUGAAAUGCACUCGCAGAAGACCGUGUGGCCGAUGUGAUUUAUGUGAAAAAAAAUUAGAUUUUGAUGUGGAGAGACAAAGAGAGGAAGGAGAUGUUCUUGCAUAACCUUUCAACAAUAUUUUCCACAACGCAAAUAUUUUUUUAUUUUCGUUCAAAGAACUUGUUUGGCUUUCUGCACCAAAUGAUUCUCAUGUGGUCACAGGCCUUGCUAAGACAGGGGAAAGCUUCGAGUGCCGUUAGGACACCCACACACAAAGACAAGUACGUAUGUGUCCGUACGUACGUCAGUUGCCGGAUUAAGCUAGUGCGGGGCCUGUAUGCAUUUGUUAUAAAGGGGCCCUAAAUAAAUACAACUUAAUAUUAAAACACAUUUUUUUACUUGCAUAAUGAAGCAAUUGUAUGUUUUUAUUUUCUAC